AUGGAGAGGCAGAGCGCAACACUUCUCGUGAAGAGGCCGAAGGAGAGGGAGGGCCAGGUCCAAGGAUUGGCCGGCGAGGUAUGGGAAGAGUCCACGAAGCUCUGGGAGGUGGUCGGCCCCGCCGUGUUCAUGAGGCUGGUCCUCUACAGCUUGAACAUCAUCAGCCAGUCCUUCGAUGGCCAUCUCGGCGACGGUGAGCUCGCCGCCUUCUCCAUCGCCAGCACCGUCAUCUCCGGCUUUAACCUUGGCUUCUUUCUUGGCAUGGCGAGUGCACUGGAGACGCUGUGCGGCCAGGCGUACGGCGCGAAGCAGUACGCAAUGCUUGGCGUGUACAUGCAGCGCUCGUGGAUUGUCCUCUUGGCUUUCGCGGCGCUCCUUUCUCCGACCUACAUCUUCAACGGGCAGCUGCUCAGCGCGCUUGGCCAGCCGGCCGACCUGGCCCGCAAGGCCGGCGUGGUCAGCGCGUGCCUGCUCCCGCUGCACUUCAUGUACGCCAUCCUCCUGCCGCUCAAUAAGUUCCUCCAGUGCCAGAGGAAGAACGCUGUCACCGCGGUGACCACCGCCGUGGCGUUCCCGGUGCACGCCGCGGUGACCUGGCUGCUGGUCAACUACUUCGGGCUCGGAGUCAUCGGCGUCGCCAUCGCGCUCAACUUCUCAUGGGCACUCGUCGUGGCGCUGCAGCUCGCGUACGCCGUCGGCGGUGGCUGCCCGGAGACAUGGGGAGGGUUCUCGCCGCUGGCGUUCGUGGACAUCUGGGGGUUCGUCAAGUUGUCCUCGGUGUCCGGGUCAUGUUCUGCUUGGAGAGUUGGUACUACAGGGUUCUGA
rnacentral:rRNA from 1 species